UAGGCACGUAGCUCAGUGGUAGAGCACCACCUUGACAUGGUGGUGGUCGGUGGUUCGAUCCCACUCGUGCCUACCAA
rnacentral:tRNA from 1 species